UACUCUUAGCUGCGGAUUACUUGGCUUGGGUGUCGAUGAGAAACACAGUUAUCUGUGAGAACUAAUUCGAAUUGCCAGACAAAUUGAUCAUCAAAGCUGUUCUGUGAAGAGAGCGACACCUGACACAGCUCAUGUCUGUGUGGUU
rnacentral:rRNA from 1 species